AACACGUGAACAAUCUACCCUUGAGAGUGGAAUAACCCCGCGAAAGCGGGGCUAAUACCGCAUAACAUCCCUGAGUCGCAUGGCACAGGGAUCAAAGGCUCCGGUCGCUCAAGGAGGAGUUCGCGCCUGAUUAGCUAGUUGGUGAGGUAACGGCCCACCAAGGCAACGAUCAGUAGCCGGCCUGAGAGGGCGUACGGCCACACUGGAACUGAGACACGGUCCAGACUCCUACGGGAGGCAGCAGUGGGGAAUUUUGCGCAAUGGGCGAAAGCCUGACGCAGCAACGCCGCGUGGAGGAUGAAGGCCUUCGGGUCGUAAACUCCUGUCAGGGGGGACGAAACGCCCGGCAACGGGCAUUGACUGUACCCUCUGAGGAAGCCACGGCUAACUCCGUGCCAGCAGCCGCGGUAAUACGGAGGUGGCAAGCGUUGUUCGGAAUUACUGGGCGUAAAGGGCGCGUAGGCGGCAAGGCAAGUCAGAUGUGAAAGCCCCGGGCUUAACUCGGGAAUUGCAUCUGAAACUGCUGUGCUUGAGUUCUGGAGGGGGUAGUGGAAUUCCCAGUGUAGCGGUGAAAUGCGUAGAUAUUGGGAGGAACACCUGCGGCGAAGGCGGCUACCUGGACAGAAACUGACGCUGAGGCGCGAAAGCUAGGGGAGCGAACGGGAUUAGAUACCCCGGUAGUCCUAGCCGUAAACGAUGGGCACUUGGUGUUGGGGGUAUUGAGUCCCUCAGUGCCGGAGUUAACACGUUAAGUGCCCCGCCUGGGGAGUACGGUCGCAAGACUGAAACUCAAAGGAAUUGACGGGGGCCCGCACAAGCGGUGGAGCAUGUGGUUCAAUUCGAAGCAACGCGCAGAACCUUACCAGCGUUUGACAUGGUAGGACGGUUUCCAGAGAUGGAUUCCUUCCCUUACGGGACCUACACACAGGUGCUGCAUGGCUGUCGUCAGCUCGUGUCGUGAGAUGUUGGGUUAAGUCCCGCAACGAGCGCAACCCUCGUCUUUAGUUGCUACCAUUUAGUUGGGCACUCUAAAGAAACUGCCGGUGAUAAGCCGGAGGAAGGUGGGGAUGACGUCAAGUCCUCAUGGCCCUUACGCGCUGGGCUACACACGUGCUACAAUGGCGGUGACAGUGGGCAGCAAACUCGCGAGAGUGAGCAAAUCCCCAAAAACCGUCUCAGUUCGGAUUGUUCUCUGCAACUCGAGAGCAUGAAGGCGGAAUCGCUAGUAAUCGCGGAUCAGCA
rnacentral:rRNA from 1 species